GUAGCAUUAUUGCUAUUAUAAACUGGUUAACAGCGUAAUGUUGUCAUACCCGUGGUAUACGGUCUAAUAUACCACGGCUAUCAGCCAAUAAGCAUUCAGGGCUCGAAUCACCCAGUUUCUAAAUAUAUAUAUAAUGAGGGUAAUUCAUAUUGAAGGGAAGAGGUUGUGUGUUUGUCUGUUAUGGGGGUCAGUGGUAAUAACUAGAGAGGGUUGAUAUGAUUCUGUUAUGGGGGUCAGUGGUGAUAAAUGUAAUCACUCUGUUCCUGGAGAGCUACCCUCCUGUAGGUUUUAACUCCAACCCUGUUCCUGGAGAGAUACCCUCCUGUAGGUUUUAACUCCAACCCUGUUCCUGGAGAGAUACCCUCCUGUAGGUUUUAAUUCCAACCCUGUUCCUGGAGAGCUACCCUCCUGUAGGUUUUAAUUCCAACCCUGUUCCUGGAGAGAACCUACAGGAGGGCAUCUCUCCAGGAACAGGGUUGGAGUUAAAACCUACAGGAGGGUAUCUCUCCAGGAACAGGGUUGGAGAUAAAACCUAGAGGAGGGUAGGGGCCCAGGUUCCUGUUAGUUUUAUUCUGACACCCUGUCCUAUUCCCUAUUUUGUGCAGUGUGCACUAUAUUUGACCAGAGCCUCUGUAGGGAAUAGGGUGCCACAACAUUCUGUUUCCAUGGUGACGUGGAGCUCAGCUUGUCUCGUUGGAAGGCAACACACAUAAUGCCCUUUUUUUCUUUUUACAAGGUUACUUAAAAAAAAGGUUUUUAAGUUAAGCACUUGAGUUUCAUAUGGUAAUCGUAAAUAAAAAAACUAUUUCUACUUCCUGCAUUCAGAAAGAGUUUAAACAUGGCGAUAUCCAGCUGUUGUCAUUUUCAAUUUAAGGAAAUCGCCUGUUUGAGUGUUCGUCCCAAAUGGCACCCGAUUCCCUAUGUAGUGCACUACUUUUGACCAGGGCCUAGAGGGUGCCGUUUGGGAUGAACGCUGGGACAGAUGGGACUCCAUUGUUUAACAUAAAAGGGCUAUCGCCUCAUUGGUCCCUCUCAUGUAACCAAUGGCCUGAAGGAUGUUUUACGUUUGUUUGUGACAAAAUGUUGUUUUAAAUUGUCAAUUUGUUUAAUUGUUCAUGAAUAGGUUCAUUCUUUCCCACCUGUCCUGAGGUUGGUUGGUUUCUAAUUGCGUAGAUGGAAUGAUUAAAUAUCUGUCUUUAAAAAUAAAAAAAUCUCUUAUUUUUUCAUUUAGUGGAAUUCAACCACUUUUCCGUAAGUUGUGGUCUAUAUAGGGGCGGCAGGUAGCCUAGUGGUUAGAGUGUAGGGGCGGCAGGUAGCCUAGUGGUUAGAGUGUAGGGGCGGCAGGUAGCCUAGUGGUUAGAGUGUAGGGGCGGCAGGUAGCCUAGUGGUUAGAGUGUAGGGGCGGCAGGUAGCCUAGUGGUUAGAGUGUAGGGGCGGCAGGUAGCCUAGUGGUUAGAGUGUAGGGGCGGCAGGUAGCCUAGUGGUUAGAGUGUAGGGGCGGCAGGUAGCCUAGUGGUUAGAGUGUAGGGGCGGCAGGUAGCCUAGUGGUUAGAGUGUAGGGGCGGCAGGUAGCCUAGUGGUUAGAGUGUAGGGGCGGCAGGUAGCCUAGUGGUUAGAGUGUAGGGGCGGCAGGUAGCCUAGUGGUUAGAGUGUAGGGGCGGCAGGUAGCCUAGUGGUUAGAGUGUAGGGGCGGCAGGCAGCCUAGUGGUUAGAGUGUAGGGGCGGCAGGUAGCCUAGUGGUUAGAGUGUAGGGGCGGCAGGUAGCCUAGUGGUUAGAGUGUAGGGGCGGCAGGUAGCCUAGUGGUUAGAGUGUAGGGGCGGCAGGCAGCCUAGUGGUUAGAGUGUAGGGGCGGCAGGUAGCCUAGUGGUUAGAGUGUAGGGGCGGCAGGUAGCCUAGUGGUUAGAGUGUAGGGGCGGCAGGUAGCCUAGUGGUUAGAGUGUAGGGGCGGCAGGUAGCCUAGUGGUUAGAGUGUAGGGGCGGCAGGUAGCCUAGUGGUUAGAGUGUAGGGGCGGCAGGCAGCCUAGUGGUUAGAGUGUAGGGGCGGCAGGCAGCCUAGUGGUUAGAGUGUAGGGGCGGCAGGCAGCCUAGUGGUUAGAGUGUAGGGGCGGCAGGUAGCCUAGUGGUUAGAGUGUAGGGGCGGCAGGUAGCCUAGUGGUUAGAGUGUAGAGGCGGCAGGCAGCCUAGUGGUUAGAGUGUAGGGGCGGCAGGUAGCCUAGUGGUUAGAGUGUAGGGGCGGCAGGCAGCCUAGUGGUUAGAGUUGGGCCAGUAAUCGAAAGGUUGCUAGAUUGGAUCCCCCGAGCUGACGAGGUAAAAAUCUGUCGUUCUGCCCCUAAACAAGGCAGUUUAACCCACUGUUCCUAGGCCAUCAUUGUAAAUAAGAAUGUGUUCUUAACUGACUUGCCUGGUUAAAUAUAAGGGAUGCCAUUUGGGACAAACUAAGUUGUAUACUGGAGAUGAUGAAUGAGGUUUAACAGUGGUGGAAUGUCCCCUUUAAUUAAACUGGUAAUACUA